UGUGUGUGUGUGGUGCGUCGGCGGAGCUAUGAAUGGGCAGAGAGGGGUGUGCUCUCACACACACCGACAUCAUCGUAGCAGCAGUGAGAUGAGGAGUGCCAUCUACUCUACUGCACGUCUGUACUGAGCAGAACGAAGGGAGGAAAAGAGAGUCUUGCAGAUGAAUACAUAAGCGGUGUAACACCAAACCCAUCCAUCACUUCACUGAAAGAUUCUGCUGAGCUGGUGAGGAAGAAGCCAUUUUUAAUGUUGUACAACCUCAAUAUUCCAAAGGAAAUCAUCCAAUCAGCACUUAUCUUCUCUUGAGACGGAUUGUCAAGUCAGCCAUGGAACAGAAGGCAAAUGAGUGUCCCACCACCACGUCUCCUCAGAAGUACAUGAAGAACAGGUCCAAAUCCACAGAGGAGAUGCAACAGACCAAGAAGUCCUUCUCUUCUCAAAAAUCCCUCCCGGGCAGACCAGAGCUGGACAAAGUAAAGGAGUCAUCCGAAGGCUCCGACACGCCGUCGUCCUCCACUGAGGAGCUAAAGUGACAAAGGGAAAGACAUUCGAGUCAAGCCAUCAAGUUACAAAAUCUUAACAUGCAUACAAAUGUAAUUCAAGAAAACAUUCAAAUCAUUAUUCAAGAUAUUUGUGAACUAGAUUAGAAAAUGCACAAGUAAAGGAUUGGUGGAACAAAACAUACAAAAUGGGCCAAAUUGAAGACACACACACACACAGUCCAAAUGAUUGAAUCCAUUGCUUGUAAACCUGUCAUGAUGCUCCUUUGUGGUAAUGUGAGUGGCGUAUACUUACCAAACUGAAUAUAUACAUUCAUUACGUGUGUGUGUACAAUAAAGUGAUGCUGUUAACUGGAUCAGUCUUUAUCAAGAA
ensembl:lncRNA